AGCCGCAUUUUGUGCUAAGGUAGCAUAAUCAUUUGUCUUUUAAAUAAAGACUAGAACAAAAGAUUUAACAUUUCAAUUUAUUUAUUUAAUUUAUAAAUUAAAAUUUUCAAAAAAGUAAUAAGACUUUUAUUUAAUAAGAAAGACGAUAAGACCCUAUAGAACUUAACUUUAGUUGAACUGGGGUAGUAUAAUCAAUUAUAAUUUUUAUUUAACAACAAUUAUAUAUAUCCACUAUUAAUGAUAAUUCAGUUACCUUAGGGAUAACAGCGCAAUUAUAUUUUAAAGUUCUUAUUAAAAAAAUAGAUUACGACCUCGAUGUUGAAUUAAUAACCUAAAUAUAGAAAAUUAUAUUAAAGGGAGUCUGUUCGACUUUUAAAAAAUUACAUGAUUUGAGUUCAGACCGGUAUAAGCCAGGUCGGCUUCUAUCUUCUAUAAAUUAUUUUACAGUACGAAAGGACCUAAAAUUUUAAUUAAAUUAAUUAAUUGGCAGAUAAAUGCAUUAGAAUUAGAAUCUAAUAAUAUUAAA
rnacentral:rRNA from 1 species